AUGCACUCUGUCACCACAUUCUUCAAGAAGGUAGAGCCUUCCCAAGAAGAAUAUGGUUUAGCUGUGCAGGAGGGUGUCUUUGCAUACCACACUAUGCGACACAAUCAUAGUUACAGAUGUGAAUUGAUCGCCCCCCAUCUAGCCUCAGAGUUUGUUCUAUUAGGUGACCUAAACUGGGAUAUGCUUAACACCCCGGCAGUCCUACAAUCUAAGCUAGAUGCCCUCAAUCUCACACAAAUCAUCAAGGAACCCACCAGGUACAACCCUAAAUCUGUAAACAAGGGCACCCUCAUAGACGUCAUCCUGACCAACUGGCCCUCCAAAUACACCUCCGCUGUCUUCAACCAGGAUCUCAGCGAUCACUGCCUCAUUGCCUGUAUCCGCUAUGGAGCCGCAGUCAAACGACCACCCGUCAUCACUGUCAAACGCUCCCUAAAACACUUCUGUGAGCAGGCCUUUCUAAUCGACCUGGCCCGGGUAUCCUGGAAGGACAUUGACCUCAUCCCGUCAGUUGAGGAUGCCUGGUCAUUCUUUAAAAGUAACUUCCUCACCAUUUUAGAUAAGCAUGCUCCGUUCAAAAAAUGUAGAACUAAGAACAGAUAUAGCCCUUGGUUCACUCCAGACCUGACUGCCCUCGACCAGCACAAAAACAUCCUGUGGCGGACUGAAAUAGCAUCGAAUAGUCCCCGCGAUAUGCAACUGUUCAGGGAAGUCAGGAACCAAUACACGCAGUCAGUCAGGAAAGCUAAGGCCAGCUUCUUCAGGCAGAAAUUUGCAUCCUGUAGCUCCAACUCCAAAAAGUUAUGGGACACUGUGAAGUCCAUGGAGAACAAGAGCACCUCUUCCCAGCUGCCCACUGCACUGAGGCUAGGUAACACGGUCACCACCGAUAAAUCCAUGAUUAUCGAAAACUUCAACAAGCAUUUCUCAACGGCUGGCCAUGCCUUCCGCCUGGUUACUCCAACCUUGGCCAACAGCUCCGCCCCCUCCGCAGCUACUCGCCCAAGCCUCUCCAGGUUCUCCUUUACCCAAAUCCAGAUAGCAGAUGUUCUGAAAGAGCUGCAAAACCUGGACCCGUACAAAUCAGCUGGGCUUGACAUUCUGGACCCUCUAUUUGUGAAACUAUCCGCCGCCAUUGUCGCAACCCCUAUUACCAGCCUGUUCAACCUCUCUUUCAUAUCGUCUGAGAUCCCCAAGGAUUGGAAAGCUGCCGCAGUCAUCCCCCUCUUCAAAGGGGGAGACACCCUGGACCCAAACUGUUACAAACCUAUAUCCAUCCGUCUUUAUAAGGUCUUCGAAAGCCAAGUCAACAAACAGGUCACUGACCAUCACGAAUCCCACCGUACCUUCUCCGCUGUGCAAUCUGGUUUCCGAACCGGUUACGGGUGCACCUCAGCCACGCUCAAGGUACUAAACGAUAUCAUAACCGCCAUCGAUAAAAGACAGUACUGUGCAGCCGUCUUCAUCGACCUUGCCAAGGCUUUCGACUCUGUCAAUCACCAUAUUCUUAUCGGCAGACUCAGUAGCCUCGGUUUUUCUGAUGACUGCCUUGCCUGGUUCACCAACUACUUUGCAGACAGAGUUCAGUGUGUCAAAUCGGAGGGCAUGCUGUCCGGUCCACUGGCAGUCUCUAUGGGGGUGCCACAGGGUUCAAUUCUCGGGCCGACUCUUUUCUCUGUAUAUAUAUAUCAAUGA
ensembl:lncRNA